UGUUCUGAGUUCUAUAUUGGG
ensembl:piRNA 21ur-2103 ncRNA